GAUUGGGUGUUUUUGCUGAAGAGGACAUAAAAAGGGACAUUUUGUUUGUUUCUAUGAGGGGUUUUGGUCUUUUCCGGUGAACAGAGAUUGAAGAGGUUCAGUAGUGAGCAUUAAAUUGUUAGUAGGGAGUUUCCUGUUUUUCUCACGACACAAGGGAUAAGAAUUUAGUAUUGAUGCACAAUUGAGUAUAAUAACAAUUGAGUCACAGCAAGUACCAAUUCUCCCAAGAGGAACUGUAAGGUGGUGGUUGAGCAGAAAGAAGAAAUAAAGCUGGCUUUUUAUACCAUAAAAAAUAUCUAAAAGAGCCAGGAACUAAGAUUGGAUUAUAAUAACAAAUCUGUACAUAGUCGCAAAUUAGAUCCCAUUGAAGCAGCAUCUGAGACUGGGGAGGUAGUAGACCAAAACAAGAUAGAGACUUGCAACAAAGAUGUUGGGAACAAAACUGAUCCUGCAGCAUCCAGUGGUACCAGUAAAUGUGGCAGGAAGGUCCAGAGAGUAAGAUUGAAGAGGCUUUCAUGAGGAAAUCAUUGAAAUAUCAUAUAAAUGGAAGUAAAUCAAGUGUUCCUUAAUAAACUUUGACAUCAUAACAGCACAAAACACCUGUAGUGAGUUAAGAACAAAAAAUUUUCCUCAAAUAAGAUCUAAGUUAAAAAACAUGAAAUUAGGUAAAUUUAAGUAACAUUUUACCAUUUCAUCAUAGACAAAUUUAUGGUGAACAAAUAUAUUUACUGUUUGAAGAUUUUACACAUUCCUGUGGACAUAUGCUUGAAAUGGCUGGGUGAAUGAGGAUCAAAAUUGACCUCUUUUAUAAAUUUUUGUCGGCAUUGAGUAUGCAUAAUUUAUUCAGCCUGAAAUGUGUUUGACAUUUGAUAAUGCAGCUGCAUGAAAUAAGUGCUAGAAAAUUAUAUAAUGAAGUCUGGAAGAUUUCUAAAAUAAUACUUGUAUUGUUUUCAUCUAUGUAAGUUAACGUAAAGCAAACAAAUGUACCUCAAACAAAAAGAAACAGGGUAAACAACAUUAAUUUUCCUAAUAUGUACAAAGUAAAAACUUAAAAAAAUCUUAUUUUAAAAAAAUCAAAUAGCUAGACCCUUUUUUAGAUAUUAAGCAUGAAACAUCUUCUAGUGAGUGUCUACCAAGAUUGAUUUCUAAAAAAAAGCCCUCAAGUCAAAAUUGGCCACGGCCCACAGGGUCAUUGAUUUUCCUUCUUUGUAUGUAGUAAAAACGUAAAGAAUCUUUUAAAACACUCAUAUGGCUAGAGCUUUUUUAGAUGUUAAGCAUGAAACAUUUUCUAGUGAGUGUCUUCCAAGUUUAUUCAAAUAAAAGCCCUGUGGUCAAAAUUGGCCCUGAACACUGGGGUCAUUGAUUUCCCUUAUAAUUUGUUUGGUUUUAUUAACCUGUGAAUUCUGUACUGAUUAUAUGGUCAAUAUUCAGAAUAUAUUAAUAUUCUAUAAAUGUUCGGUAAAUUCUGUGAGAUGUACUCAGUAAGAUGAUAUUUAAUUAUGUCUCCCCCACCUCGGGGGGAGACAUAUUGUUUUUGCCCUGUCCGUCCGUCAGUCCGUCCGUCCGUCAGUCCGUCCGUCCAUUCUUCGUUUCCGGACGAUAACUAGAGUUCCUUUUGACCUACAGCUCUCAAACUUCAUAGGAUGAAUGGUCUUAUUGAGCAGAUGAUCCCUAUUGUUUUUGGGGUCAGUAGUUCAAAGGUCAAGGUCACAGUGACCGUUGGUCAAUUUCUCGUUUCCGGAUGAUAACUAGAGUUCCUUUUGACCUACAGCCCUCAAACUUCAUAGGAUGAUUGGUCUUAUAGAGCUGAUGAUCCCUAUUGUUUUUGGGGUCAGUAGGUCAAAGGUCAAGGUCACACUGACCGUUGGUCAAUUUCUCGUUUCCGGAUGAUAACUAGAGUUCCUUUAGACCUACAGACCUCAAACUUCAUAGGAUGAUUGGUCUUAUUGAGCAGAUGAUCCCUAUUGUUUUUGGGGUCAGUAGUUCAAAGGUCAAGGUCACAGUGACCGUUGGUCAAUUUCUCGUUUCCGGAUGAUAACUAGAGUUCCUUUUGACCUACAGCCCUCAAACUUCAUAGGAUGAUUGGUCUGAUAGAGCAGAUGAUCCCUAUUGUUUUUGGGGUCAGUAGGUCAAAGGUCAAGGUCACAGUGACCGUUGGUCAAUUUCUCCAUUUCCAUUCCUGUUUCCAUUCACAGUUAUUCUCAGCAGUGGGGGAGACAUGCGCUUUUUUACAAAAGCAUCCUCUAGUUCAUCUUGUUUCUAUGAAUUAGUUAAACUGACCGUUAUAGCCCAGUAGGGUAAAGUACAGGUUUAUAAUACAUGUUGUAAGAUCGAGACAGUGUAUGCCUAGGUUUUUUUUAUUCAUAACUAAUUUUAACGUUGUUGAACUUAUGGUUGUUCUUUCUGUUUUUAACAUGGUUUGCAUUUUUUUGUAAAUACUAUACUUUUGUUACGUAAAAAACAUAGUUUAAGAGUUAAUAUUUAAAAUUCAUUCAGAUUAAAAUCAAUUAAUGUCAGAUCAGUGUCGUAGAAUACAAUACAUAACGUGACAAGGCAGUGUUUCUUAGUUUUUCAUAUCCUUGUAGACAAUUUUGAUUUGAUCAUUGAUUUUCCUUAUAUGCAUAUUGUAAAAAAUAAAAAUCUCCUUUUAAAAAACCCAACAAAACAAGUAUUCUGACUCAGGUGAGCAAUUUAGGGCAAUCAUGGCCCUCUUGUUGGUCUUCUUACUGUGUUUUUGUUGAUUUUAAUUUUAUUACUGUAUUGUUUUGCAUCUAUCUAACAGACUUGCUAGUAUAAUUGUAUUAUUGUGCUGACGUAAUAUGUUACCUUUUUCAAAUGCCUUGCUGAACAGGACUGUUGCUGUGUAAAAUGUUGUUUUUUUAUUUGUAUGAAUUGCAUAACAUUUAUGUUGUUUCAUUUUCUUUUUGUGCCCCCACGUUAGUGGCGGGCAUUUAGAUUUACCCUUGUCCGUCCUUACGUCCGUCCGUCUGUCCGUUCAUUAUUGUGUCGCACGUAACUCAAAAAGUAUUUGACCUAGAGUCAUGAAACUUUACAGGAAUGUUGAUCAGCAUGUGUAGUUGUGCACCUGGGUAUUUUCGUCUGGAUACUUUUAGUAUUUUCAGAAUUAUUGCCCUUGACUUAGUAAAAUUUUGCAAUUUUCAACUUGUGUCACAUAUAACUCAAAAAGUAUUUGACCUAGAGUCAUGAAACUUUACAGGAAUGUUGAUCAGCAUGUGUUGUUGUGCACCUGGGUAUUUUCGUGUGGAUACUUUUAGUAUUUUCAGAGUUAUUGCCCUUGACUUAGUAAAAUUUUGCAAUUUUCAACAUGUGUCGCAUGUAACUCAAAAAGUAUUUGACUAGAGUCAUGUAACUUUACAGGAAUAUUGAUCAGAAUGUGCAGUUGUGCACCAGGUAUUUUCGUCUGGAUUUAUUUAGUAUUUUUAGAGUUAUUGCCCUUCACUUAGAAAAUUUUUGCAAUUUUCAACUUGUGUCUCAAGUUACUGAAAAUGGAUUUGACAUAGUCAUUAAACCUUAUGGGCAGGUUGCUCAGCAUAUUUAGAUUUGAACCAGGGGUUUCACUUGUGGAUUUAUCCAGUAUUUGUAGAGUUAUUUCCCUUGACUUAGUAAGAAGAUUGACAGAACAGUAUCGCGGUGGGGGCACCCGUGUCCUAUGGACACAUUUCUAGUUUACCAUAUAUUGACUGUAUAACAUGAUCAUAUGUUCAUUUGCUGUGUACAAGUUUUUUAAGUUAUGAUCCCCUAAUCCGCUUUGAUCGGCAUAAUUAUUGUCCACUCCAAAGAAACUGAGGGGCAUAAGUUCAAACCCCAGAAGAGUCAACUAUUUUUCUUUUUAUAUUUUUUCAGUAUGUCUCAGAUCCCUCGUGGAAAGUAAAAAAGUAUUUAAUUUUAAUAAUGGAAUAUGAUAGGUAUUUAUUGACUAAAAUGCCAAAUUAAAGAACAAACAUGCUAAUCAAAACUACACGGUUAAAAGUAUUUUAUAUUUGACCAUAUACUUCGUAAAAAUUAAGACAAUUAAAGCAAAGUUUGAAAACAGCCCCUGACUUUGGUAAUUUUAAGGGAUAUUUUGAAUAAGUAGGAAAAAGGUCAAACAAGUGAUUAAAAUGGGUUGGCUGGGGUAACAAUUUUGUACAUAUUUCAAACAUUUUGCACAUAAACAAUAAUUUUGCUUGUGUGAUUUGUUAGCUGAAUGCUAUUAGUUGUUUCUUAAUAAAAAAUAAAUAAGGAAACAUUUUUCAUAA